rnacentral:rRNA from 1 species
GAUGAACGCUGGCGGCGUGCCUAAUACAUGCAAGUCGAGCGAAUGGAUUAAGAGCUUGCUCUUAUGAAGUUAACGGCGGACGGGUGAGUAACACGUGGGUAACCUGCCCAUAAGACUGGGAUAACUCCGGUAAACCGGGGCUAGUACCGGAUAACAUUUUGCACCGCAUGGUUCGAAAUUGAAUGGCGGCUUCGGCUGUCACUUAUGGAUGGACCCGCGUCGCAUUAGCUAGUGGGUGAGGUAACGGCUCACCAAGACAACGAUGCGUAGCCGACCUGAGAGGGUGAUCGGCAACACUGGGACUGAGACACGGCCCAGACUCCUACGGGAGGCAGCAGUAGGGAAUCUUCCGCAAUGGACGAAAGUCUGACGGAGCAACGCCGCGUGAGUGAUGAAGGCUUUCGGGUCGUAAAACUCUGUUGUUAGGGAAGAACAAGUGCUAGUUGAAUAAGCUGGCACCUUGACGGUACCUAACCAGAAAGCCACGGCUAACUACGUGCCAGCCGCCGCCGUAA